rnacentral:rRNA from 1 species
UACGUAGGGCGCAAGCGUUGUCCGGAAUCAUUGGGCGUAAAGCGCGCGUAGGCGGCCCGGUCAGUCCGUUGUGAAAGUCAAAGGCUCAACCUUUGAAUGCCGACGGAUACUGCCGGGCUAGAGUACGGAAGAGGCGAGUGGAACUCCUGGUGUAGCGGUGGAAUGCGCAGAUAUCAGGAAGAACACCAACGGCGAAGGCAGCUCGCUGGGACGGUACUGACGCUGAGACGCGAAAGCGUGGGGAGCGAACAGG